ensembl:lncRNA
CUCCCCACCUCCCGCGAGGCGCGCUUUCUAGAACGCGCGGUGGAAGACGCCAAAACGGACAAGGGCGGCUUUUUCCCUCCUCCCCCCACCUCGCUUUAAAACAAAGCAGCGAUUCAUUCCCUCUCCCCGAACAGCGCGGUUGGGUGGGAUGGGCAGGCGAGAAGGCCGUUUUCCUAGCCCUGGUCUGCGGGUUCCUCCCUGAAACGCGGUGUCAGAUGGUUACUGAUUAAUAUUUUGGAGAGGCCGCGGCGGCGGGCAGCGGAGGGGCGGCGAACGGGCCUUCGCACCAGUACUCUGCGUCCGCCGACAAGCAGGCAGUGCAGCUGUUCAUCAGGACAGCCACCUCCGGACAGCCUCCUGGACUUUGGUGGGGACAGCCGCUGAAGGGGGAGGCGUUCACACACACACACACACACACACACACCACUUACACAUUCACCGUGCCUCCUGGGAUCCUCCCUGUGCCAGUGCCACGACAGCAAACUGGCACGUGGAAGAUGCCGGAGGCGGAGGGUUUGGAAACCUCGCUGCGAGAUACUCACCCAGGGAGCUUCGGCUCCUUCCUAGAAUUUCUAAAUGCACAAGUGAAGGGACCGAGACCUCCGGGCCGAGCCCAGAAGAAUUUGAGCGCUCCCCUCGGCGGCGGGAACGCAGCCUGGGAGUGGAGAGGCGGCUGAGCCGCAUUCCAGCCGCGCCUCCCCCGGCCCCAGCCCCGCGGCGCCCCAGGAAGCGCCUCCGAAAACAAAGCGCUGCGGUUUCAGCCCAAGGUUAAAGUCCACCGCGAGCGUUUCCCCCCCACCCCCAGAAUCCGAGAGCGAUAGUGUUUCUCCAAAUAAACCGCCAAUAAAUCAGCCCGGGGCCGCCUGCUAAGGAGCUCUGCUGACCUUGGGGACUGGGUCUUCUGCUAGACCCGUCGGGGGAGAGGCACCGGGAGGGGCCCCGUGUGCCAGCCGAGCCCCCUCCCACUCCACUG